CGACGACCACCACGUUGGCGGCGGCCAUCGAGAUCGCCCACACCGACUUCGCCUUGGCAACCCAAAGCUUCAAGAGCCGGAAAGAGUACUCCCACGAGGCUACUACCCCACCCGUCGUCUCCUCUUCGCUCGGUUUGAGAAGAGUGCCUGUUUGACUUCCACCAUCUUCUCUGAUUUCCGCAUAAUAUCAACCUCACCAGGAUGAUGUUGAGAUGCAUGGUCGAUGAUGAACGAAGGUAAUUUGUAGCAAACUCUAUUUUCAAUGCGCUCGGCAUAAUUUAUGAUUCUAAAAGAACAUUUCUUCUUUUGGUCGAUGAGAGAAAAUGGGAAGCUCCCUUUCUAUUUUGCUCCUGUGAGAAACAGCACAUAGGUCAUGUUAUUAAAAGAAAAUUCAAGAAAAUUUAGGAAAAAAAGAACAAUUUAAGAACA